GACGAACGCUGGCGGCGUGCUUAACACAUGCAAGUCGAACGGAAAGGCCCUGCUUUUGUGGGGUGCUCGAGUGGCGAACGGGUGAGUAACACGUGAGUAACCUGCCCUUGACUUUGGGAUAACUUCAGGAAACUGGGGCUAAUACCGGAUAGGAGCUCCUGCCGCAUGGGGGGGGUUGGAAAGUUUCGGCGGUUGGGGAUGGACUCGCGGCUUAUCAGCUUGUUGGUGGGGUAGUGGCUUACCAAGGCUUUGACGGGUAGCCGGCCUGAGAGGGUGACCGGCCACAUUGGGACUGAGAUACGGCCCAGACUCCUACGGGAGGCAGCAGUGGGGAAUAUUGCACAAUGGGCGGAAGCCUGAUGCAGCAACGCCGCGUGCGGGAUGACGGCCUUCGGGUUGUAAACCGCUUUCGCCUGUGACGAAGCGUGAGUGACGGUAAUGGGUAAAGAAGCACCGGCUAACUACGUG
rnacentral:rRNA from 1 species